rfam:Xenopus laevis strain J chromosome 8L, whole genome shotgun sequence.
CCCGCCACUAUACCAGCCUGCCUGUGGCUCGGUGUAUUCCAGUGGUGAGCUGAGAGUGACCCCUUCUUAGGAAACAGGGUCCUUCUGUGUGUGAGAGCCUCUGUGCCGAAAGAUUGGGAACACAA